UACGUAGGGUGCAAGCGUUGUCCGGAAUUAUUGGGCGUAAAGGGUGCGUAGGCGGUUUGGUAAGUCUUAUGUGAAAUCUACAGGCUCAACUUGUAGUCUGCAUGAGAAACUGCCGGGCUUGAGUAUGGGAGAGGAGAGUGGAAUUCCCAGUGUAGAGGUGAAAUUCGUAGAUAUUGGGAAGAACACCGGUGGCGAAGGCGGCUCUCUGGACCGAUACUGACGCUGAGGCGCGAAAGCGUGGGGAGCAAACAGG
rnacentral:rRNA from 1 species